AACCAGCGCCUCUAUCUCUCUCUCUCUCUCGCUCUAUUUUCAGGGUCCGUCUUCAUCUCUGUCUCUGUCUCCACUACUCCUCUCCCCUCCCUCUCUCAUCGCCGGUCGUCCUCGCAGUUGCCAACAACCAGAUCACCUUCUUCUUCUCCGCCAUCGCUACUAUUUGCUCUCACUCCGGUCGAACUGCCCAUCGCUCUUCGUCGGUACACUGUCUCAUCGCCACCGUCACUCACUGUCGCUCACCAUCUCAAGCCCAUUGAUUUUGAUUUAGCUCUGGUCUUUAAUUUGUGCAAAGCGAAAGAGAAUUUCUUCUAAUCUGCAAGCACUCUUAGCCAUUGAUUUCUUUUGAAGACACAGUUCCCUUGCAUUUUUUGACCAAAGAAGUAAUAACCAAUCUCACAAUUGGGGCUAUGCCAUCUUUGCUCUUAUUGGGUGAACAGUUGGGUUCUCAGCAUUGAAAUAAUUCGAGGACUUCAUUAAUAGUUAGGUCGUCUUUUUGGUAACAAUGCUUCGAGUUGGCAAAGCAUUAUUCCCAUUGCAUAGACAGAUGCAUAAAUUAUCCCGUGACGGUCCUAGCGAAACCCUAAAGAGGAAGGUUGCUGAAUUGGAGAAGAUAAGGACAAGGAAGAACCCUAGGAAAAAUCAGUUAUUUGUAGAAGUUGCGAAGCCAAAAACAUACCUUGAUGCAUCGACUAUGUUGAUGAUUCUCACUGUUGUUAGAGUUGCACUCUUUGCAAAGCUCCUGAUGAUGGUAUGCUUAGUUUGGAUGCAUUUCUUUGUGUUUCCUUCAACUUUGGAUAUGUAAUUAUCUCGUUGGUUCUCUCAUAAUUUGCAACGUGCUUUUCUAAACCAAAUUAAUUUGUUUUCCAAAUGGAUAACCUCUAUAUCAGUUGCUACUCAUUGGUAGUAGUUUGAUGGGUUUUUAUUUCUUUUAAUUAAGAAAGUUGAAAACAAAACUUCAUGGGUUUGAACUUCUGUCUCAACUUUCCAUUACAAAUCUAAAAGUUAGCCAUAAUCUAUCUAUCGGAUUGCCUAAGAAGAUACUCUCAAUAGGGCAGAGCCUCAUUGAUGUUUGUGGUGACUUUCGUGAAGUAGCAACCACAUGAGAUGGUUGUGGUAAGGUUUCAGGUAAUUGUGUUGGUGGGACUGUACAGGCUAUAGUUCUCUAACCUUCUGAGAUAUUUCAAGAUAUGUUUUGGUCAUUAUUGACUAAAGAUUCAUCCAUUACUAAAAUGGCAUACCUAAUAAAGUUUGGAGCUUAAUUGUAGAGGUUUCAUGCUGUUUCUUUUGUGGAUUAUUCUCUUUGAUAUCAAUUUUGCUUGCCUGAAAAG